rnacentral:rRNA from 2 species
UUGGUGCUUGCAUCAUGAUUUACAUUUGAGUGAGUGGCGAACUGGUGAGUAACACGUGGGAAACCUGCCCAGAAGCGGGGGAUAACACCUGGAAACAGAUGCUAAUACCGCAUAACAACUUGGACCGCAUGGUCCGAGUUUGAAAGAUGGCUUCGGCUAUCACUUUUGGAUGGUCCCGCGGCGUAUUAGCUAGAUGGUGAGGUAACGGCUCACCAUGGCAAUGAUACGUAGCCGACCUGAGAGGGUAAUCGGCCACAUUGGGACUGAGACACGGCCCAAACUCCUACGGGAGGCAGCAGUAGGGAAUCUUCCACAAUGGACGAAAGUCUGAUGGAGCAACGCCGCGUGAGUGAAGAAGGGUUUCGGCUCGUAAAACUCUGUUGUUAAAGAAGAACAUAUCUGAGAGUAACUGUUCAGGUAUUGACGGUAUUUAACCAGAAAGCCACGGCUAACUACGUGCCAGCAGCCGCGGUAAUACGUAGGUGGCAAGCGUUGUCCGGAUUUAUUGGGCGUAAAGCGAGCGCAGGCGGUUUUUUAAGUCUGAUGUGAAAGCCUUCGGCUCAACCGAAGAAGUGCAUCGGAAACUGGGAAACUUGAGUGCAGAAGAGGACAGUGGAACUCCAUGUGUAGCGGUGAAAUGCGUAGAUAUAUGGAAGAACACCAGUGGCGAAGGCGGCUGUCUGGUCUGUAACUGACGCUGAGGCUCGAAAGUAUGGGUAGCAAACAGGAUUAGAUACCCUGGUAGUCCAUACCGUAAACGAUGAAUGCUAAGUGUUUGGAAGGGUUUCCGCCCUUCAGUGCUGCAGCUAACGCAUUAAGCAUUCCGCCUGGGGGAGUACGGCCGCAAGGCUGAAACUCAAAGGAAUUGACGGGGGCCCGCACAAGCGGUGGAGCAUGGGGGUUUAAUUCGAAGCUACGCCGAAGAACCUUACCAGGUCUUGACAUACUAUGCAAAUCUUAGAAGAUUAGACGUUCCCUUCGGGGACAUGGAUACAAGGUGGGGGCAUGGGUUGUCGUCAGCUCCUGUCGUGGAAAAGUUUGGGGUUAAUUCCCCCCACCAAGCGCCACCCCUUAUUAUUCAUUUGCCCGCCAUUAAAUUUGGGCCCUCCUGUUGGAAAUGCCCGGUGAGAAACCCAAGGAAAGAGGGGGG